rnacentral:rRNA from 1 species
AACGAACGCUGGCGGCAUGCCUGACACAUGCAAGUCGAACGAGAUCUUCGGGUCUAGUGGCGCACGGGUGCGUAACGCGUGGGAAUCUGCCCUUUGGUUCGGAAUAACAGUUGGAAACGACUGCUAAUACCGGAUGAUGACGAAAGUCCAAAGAUUUAUCGCCAGAGGAUGAGCCCGCGUAGGAUUAGCUAGUUGGUGUGGUAAAGGCGCACCAAGGCGACGAUCCUUAGCUGGUCUGAGAGGAUGAUCAGCCACACUGGGACUGAGACACGGCCCAGGCUCCUACGGGAGGCAGCAGUGGGGAAUAUUGGACAAUGGGCGAAAGCCUGAUCCAGCAAUGCCGCGUGAGUGAUGAAGGCCUUAGGGUUGUAAAGCUCUUUUACCCGGGAUGAUAAUGACAGUACCGGGAGAAUAAGCUCCGGCUAACUCCGUGCCAGCAGCAGCCGCGG